GGAUUCCCUUAGUAACGGCGAGUGAACAGGGAUUAGCCCAGCACCGAAGCCUGUGGUCAUUUGACUGCUAGGCAAUGUGGUGUUUAGAUUGGUUCUUGGCAUUUUUGCUUCAUCCCAAGUCCAUCAAUGAGUGUGGCUUAUGGACUGGCCCAAAGAGGGUGAAAGGCCCGUAGGGAUGUUGAUCAAGUAUGACAAGAUUGCUUCGAACCUUUCUUGGAGUCGGGUUGUUUGUGAAUGCAGCCCAAAGUGGGUGGUAGACUCCAUCCAAGGCUAAAUACUGGCACGAAUCCGAUAGCAAACAAGUACCGUGAGGGAAAGUUGAAAAGUACUUUGAAGAGAGAGUAAACAGUGCGUGAAACCGCUCAGAGGUAAACGGGUGGAGUUGAACUGGAAUCCUUGGCAAUUUAGCUGAUGAGUAUGGCUUAUGCUUGCUUGGGCAUGGUGGCUAAUAUGCGAAGUCUGCUUAAUGACAGGCUUGGGCUUUUCGGAGUCCAGGUGCACGUGGCACUGGUCAAGUGUUGUGCGCUUCGUUUAAUUUGGGUCAGCUUGUCAGUGCACUUUGUCAGGGUGAUCACCACGACCGGCGUGGUUGUCUGUUUGCUGUGGUCAAACCGAUCAGAUUUGGUCAUUAUGGCUGGAUUUGGUCGGGAUGGCAGGUAGCUUGCUUGCUUCUUUGCGAAGUAGGUAGGUGUUAAUUAGCUGGCUGCAGUAAAUUUGUGCAAUAUGUCGGAGAUAACGGCCGCGUAUGCUUUGUUUGGCAAAUUUGAACGAGUUGGAUUGGCAUGUACUUGUUAAGGCAGGUUUGUCAGUAGUUCGUUUUGGUUUGUUAAGCGAAUGCAUUCAAUGAUUUGUAGCUUGGGCCUAUAGUCUGUGGUGUAGUGGUAGACUAUCCACCUGACCCGUCUUGAAACACGGACCAAGGAGUUUAACAUGUGCGCGAGUCAUUGGGCGUUACGAAACCCAGAGGCGUAAUGAAAGUAAGGGUUCGAUUUAAAAGAUUCGAGCUGAGGUGAGAUCUCGUUGUUUCCAAUGAUCCGUACCAAGCAUUGGUGUGGCGAGCGCAUCACCAGCCCGUCUCAUGGUGUAGUCAUGAAGUUUCGGCUUUGUGCGUCAUCGGGGC
rnacentral:rRNA from 1 species